rnacentral:rRNA from 1 species
AUUGAACGCUGGCGGCAGGCCUAACACAUGCAAGUCGAGCGAGCGGCGGACGGGUGAGUAAUGUCUGUGAAACUGUCUGAUGUGGGGGGGUAACUCCUGGAAACGGUAGCUAAUACCCCAUACCAUCAGAUGUGCCCAGAUGGGAUUAGCUCGUAGGUGGGGUAACGGCUCACCUAGGCGACGAUCCCUAGCUGGUCUGAGAGGAUGACCAGCCACACUGGAACUGAGACACGGCCCAGACUCCUACGGGAGGCAGCAGUGGGGAAUAUUGCACAAUGGGCGCAAGCCUGACGCAGCCAUGCCGCGUGUGUGAAGAAGGCCUUCGGGUUGUAAAGCUCUUUCAGCGGGGAGGCGUUAACCGCAGAAGAAGCACCGGCUAACUCCGUGCCAGCAGCCGCGGUAAUUC